ensembl:lncRNA
CCUCCGCCAGCCGCGCGCGCAGCCCCGCCACGCUGCAGCUGGAGCGACCGCGGCCGGCCACGCAGAUUGGGGGAGGGGCAGGCGGAGGCGGAGGAGAGGGCGGGAGGCGCGGGGAGGGGGCCGGAGCGAGGAGGAGGAGGAAAUAAAUAAAUAAAACAAUAACCUCCGCGCCAAUAAGAGCGAGGGAGAGAGAGAGACGCGGCCAGAGAGCCGCCGGUGCCUGUUCGCUCGCCUCUGAGAGGUCCUCCGCGCGCGCGCAUGUGUGUGCGUGCGUGUGUAUUUGCUGGGACUGGAGCUGGAAAGUUCAAACUAAACGUGUUGCUCUCGCCGGCUGCCGAGGCCGCGGACCGGGCUGCCCAACUUCUCUGGGCCAAGUGACUGGCGUUGCCCGGCGUUGCCCGGCGUUGCCCGGCGCCCUUGGCGCGGCGGCGGCCGCUCGGCCCUGCGCCCAGGCGCGGCGGCGGCGGCGGCGGCGGCGGCUGCGCUCGCCCCGGGAGGGAGCCCGCGGCCAGGGCUGGACCCGCGCCCCGCCAGCUCCAGCGACGCUCUCUGCUCAGCCUCCGCGCCUGGCGCCCGCGGAAAGGGUCUACUGUGAUCUGGGAGCAGGUGACCCUGCUUCUAACAAAUUGUCAAGUCACUAGUAACCUGAUGCUACCUCAUAAUGCCUGUAUCAUUCGCUGCACUUCAUCUCAUCACACAGCCAUUUUAUCAUCUCCCUUCACCACAAGAAGAUGAGGGUGAGUACUAGAUAAUAAGGUAUUUUGAAAGAGAGGCCACAUUCACAUAACUUUUGUUACAGCAUACAGUCUUUGUAUUACAGUGUAUUGUUAUAACUGUUCUGUUACUAGCUACUGUUAAGCUUUUACUGUGUGUAACUGAUGGAUUAAACUUUAUCAUAGACAUGUACAUAUGGGCAAAGACGUAGUAUACAUAGAAUUGGGUACUCUCCUCAGUUUCAGGCAUCCACUGGGGGUCUGGAAAGGAAUCCUCUGAGGAUAAGGGGGCACUACUGUAUUUCCUGAGCUAUUAGACCUGAGGUUCCCAGAAAACACGAGAUCUGUAUGUAAAAAAACUAAAAUUAGACUUUGACAAACUUGCUGAAAUAUUACUAUGCAAGUAACAUCACUAUACAGAUGUCUCUGAAAUAAGAUUCUAUAAAGAGGACAGAAAAUAUUUGUUUUAGUUGGGGUUCUUCAGGGUAGCAGAAUCAAUUACACAUGUAUAAGAGGAAGUUUAUCAUAGGAACUGGCCUAUGUAAUUAUGGAUGCCAAGUCCCAUGAUCCACCAUCAGCAAGGUUGAGAACCAGGAAAGCAAGUGGUCUAAUGAGAACCAGAGAAUCACUGAUAAAAGUCCCAGAGUCUGAAUGCCCAAGAAUCAGGAGCUCCAGUGUCAUAGGGCAGGAGAAGGUGGACAACCCAGCUGUACUGAAGAGAGAGACUUUAUCUUUUCUCUGCUUUUGUGUUCUGUGAGGACUCUCAGGAGAUUGAAGGAUGCCCACCCACAUUAGUUAGGGUAGGUCUCUUUACUCAGUCUACUGAAUCAAAUUCAAAUCUGUCCAAGAAACACCUUUACAGACACACCUCAGGGCAACAUGCUACCAGCUAUCUGACCAUCCCUUAGCCCAGUUAAGUUGAUAUGUAAAAUUAACCAUCACAAGAUUAUUUCUCAAAAACUUGUCUAAAAGCUGCUAUGUAAAUAACUUAUCUAAAGGCAUUGAUGAUUCAUAUGAUCAGUGGUAACAUCAACACACCAAGAGCAGAAGAGAUCUAGAAAUCCAUAGGAUCUUCUUUGUUUGGGAAGCAUGCAAGAAUAAGGCUGAAAAUUCUGGCACCUGCUUUAAUAAUCCGGAUGCUGGGCAGAAACCAUAAUUCUCAGUGACACCUAACCAAUACCCUGUAAAGCAAUAGUCACGACCAGCAAGGAAAACAGACAAUGGACAGAUGACCAAAGAGAAUGGACCUAUUCAUGGGGUGUGUUCCAAAGGGUUAUUUUCUCUUGGUUUUGCCUGCCUUCACAUGUAUGGUUCCACCAACAUCUCAAAGUAUUUCCUUUUUCUUUAUUUUUUUUUAAAUUUAAAUCCAAGUUAGUAAACAUCUAGCAUAAUAAUGAUUUUAGGAAUAGAAUUUAGUGUACACAUAACACUCAGUGCUCAUCCCAACAAGUGCCCUCCUCAAUACCCUGCCCAUCUAGCCCAUCCCCCAUCCAACACCCCGCCAGCAACCCUCAGAUUGUUCUCUGUGUUUAAGAGUCUCUUACAGUUUAUCUCCCUCUAAUCUCUAAGACUGAACACAUGGAACACACACUAGUCUUUUCUGUGUAUCAGUUGCUUUGCUAAAGUUCUUGGAAGAUGGGCAUUUACAUUCUAGUAUUUCAAAAGGAGUCCAAAUUAACUGAUAAUUGCACUGCUGACAUUGUAUUACUUAUAGCUUCUUCUUAAAGUGGUAGAAAGGCAGGGUGGAUUUGUGGAAAGAACACAAGCAUUGGUUCAAGAGAUUAAGCAUUAGUUGGGAGUGUUUUGAAGUAUGAACUGGGGCUUCCCAGUUUCCCUACUAUAAGCUUUCCAGCCACAGGUAGAAUGGCAAGUUCAGGGACUAUCAGGGGAACUCACAUGAUUACCCUAAACAAUCACCUAUAGAGACCCAGACUAAUGCUUUGUAGUUUUUAUUUGAAUUUGCUAAGCUAUCAUGUUCUUCCUCAAGAUAUCUUAGUGUCACCAUCAGUCAAGUCCUGAUUCAAAAGUCGCCUUCUCAGUGAGGACUUCCCAUUUCAGAUUACGCAAAUUCCAAGGCUUCGCCCAUUGUGGCCUUUGCUUUCCUUUUUCCUGCAAUUUGUCACUCUCAAACACGUUACUUAUCUCCCUUAUUUAUUUGGUUCUCUGUUUGUCCCCCGGUUCUGACCCCCACUGGAAUGAAAGUUCCAUAAGAUGACUUGGUUUUGUCUCUUUACGUUGCUGUGUCUUUAGUACCUGAAGCAGUGCCUGACACAGAGUAGCCGCUCAUUAAAUAUGGGUUGGCAGGUUAAGUAACGAAGAGAAAUUUCAAUAUUGUGAGGAACAAUGCAGCAAAUUGAGUCCAGUGGGAUGUAAAAAAAAAAAAAAAAGCUAUGUAUUAUCACUAAGGAUGUUUACUUUCUUCACUGUUUCUUCUGGCGACCAUUGCCAUGACAUGUUGUCUCAGUUUUUGCUCCUACUCUCCUUUUACAGCACAUUCUCCACCGAGGAAAAAGACGUUUGGUGUUUAGCUCUGGUCCUCCUGGAACUCUCAUUACUCUUUAACUAAACCCAGAGUCUUCCUCCAGCCCCAUACCUCCAGACUUGCUCCAGCUGGCCACAUGCCCUCCAUGAUUCAAUCUUCUGCCUCACUGGCUUUCUUCAUGUUCCGCAGAUCCACCUAAUUAUUCUACCCUUUGGUAUUUGUGCCUGUUCUACUGGGGUAUUUCUUUCUGCUUGGAACAAACCUUAGUUUGGCUGGCUUCUGUGCAUCACUUAUGGCUAAAAAUUUUAUAUUUCAAAUUGUAGCAUUUUAAAAAUAAAUAUAUAUGAUUAUAAUAAAACA